rnacentral:rRNA from 1 species
GACGAACGCUGGCGGCGUGCCUAAUACAUGCAAGUCGAACGCAGUGGGGACGGGUGAGUAACACGUGGGUAACCUUCCAUUAGAGGGGAUAACAUUUGGAAACAGGUGCUAAACCGAUACUGAUGGAUGGAGUCGUGGUGCAUUAGCUAGUUGGUGAGGUAAAGGCUCACUAAGGCAACGAUGCAUAGCCGACCUGAGAGGGUGAUCGGCCACACUGGGACUGAGACACGGCCCAGACUCCUACGGGAGGCAGCAGUGGGGAAUCUUCGGCAAUGGACGAAAGUCUGACCGAGCAACGCCGCGUGAGUGAAGAAGGUUUUCGGAUCGUAAAGCUCUGUUAUUAGAGAGGCGGUAUCUAACCAAAAAGCCACGGCUAACUACGUGCCAGCAGCCGCGGUAAUUC